rnacentral:misc_RNA from 1 species
GUUUGCAGUUUCAAAACCGGUGAGUAAAUGUUUUCUAAAUUUUCUUUUUGCUGGAAUCCUCUUACUACCAACCUUGCUUUACAUAUUUCCUUGUCUCCAAUAUCUUUUCUAGUAAAUAUCCACUUGGUAUCUAUUAACUUAUUAUUCUCUGGUUUAGGUACUAUCUUCCAUGUUUCACUCUCUUGUAGGACUUUCAUUUCUUCUGAUAUAGCAUUUUCCCAUUGCUGUUUAUCUUCUCUGUUCUGUAUCUCUUCAAAAUGUUGUGGUGCGUCAGAAUGAAUCGUAAGUAAAGCAUAUAAUAUAUCUCCUGUAUCUUCAUUAUCAUCUAACUGGUAAUCUGUUUGCCAUUUAGGUUUUCUAAUAUUUCUUCUAGGUCUCUCCCUGCUUGCUAGCUCCUUUUCAACCUGUCGGUCUUCUAAUUUUUGCACUGCAUCUUCAUAAACUUCUGUGUUUUCUUCACUGCAUGACUCUUUAUUCUGUUUCUCUUGUGUGUUAUCUUCUGUAUUCUUCUCUGUUAUUCUCUUACCUUCUUCUUUUUUCUUUUCAGGUGAUUUUUUUCUUUCUUCCGGUGCUUCAUCUUUUUCUUCUACAUCUUGGUAAGGUAAGUAAAUUCUUGGUACAUAUUUUUCUUUAGGUUUUUCAUCGAAUAUCACAUUUCUUGCAUGUACUUCCUUUUGUGUUUCAGGAUCGAAGAGUAUGUAACCUGCUGGAGCAUAUCCGAUCAUAAUCAUCUUACGUCCAGUGUUAUCAAGCUUCUGUCUGCACUCUUUUGAUUGCCGGAAACUGCAGAGAACCACGCUCUGCUACCACUGUUGGUUAUUUUGACAGGAACGAGG